GUCGAACGGCAGCACGGGAGCAAUCCUGGUGGCGAGUGGCGAACGGGUGAGUAAUGCAUCGGAACAUACCCAGUCGUGGGGGAUAACGUAGCGAAAGUUACGCUAAUACCGCAUACGUCCUGAGGGAGAAAGCGGGGGAUCGCAAGACCUCGCGCGAUUGGAGUGGCCGAUGUCAGAUUAGCUAGUUGGUGGGGUAAAGGCCUACCAAGGCGACGAUCUGUAGCGGGUCUGAGAGGAUGAUCCGCCACACUGGGACUGAGACACGGCCCAGACUCCUACGGGAGGCAGCAGUGGGGAAUUUUGGACAAUGGGCGCAAGCCUGAUCCAGCCAUGCCGCGUGCGGGAAGAAGGCCUUCGGGUUGUAAACCGCUUUCAGCCGGAAAGAAAUUGCUAUUCCUAAUACGAGUAGUGGAUGACGGUACCGGAAGAAGAAGCACCGGCUAACUACGUGCCAGCAGCCGCGGUAAUACGUAGGGUGCGAGCGUUAAUCGGAAUUACUGGGCGUAAAGCGUGCGCAGGCGGUUUCUUAAGCCAGACGUGAAAUCCCCGGGCUUAACCUGGGAACUGCGUUUGGAACUGGGAGACUAGAGUACGGCAGAGGGAGGUGGAAUUCCACGUGUAGCAGUGAAAUGCGUAGAGAUGUGGAGGAACACCGAUGGCGAAGGCAGCCUCCUGGGCCUGUACUGACGCUCAUGCACGAAAGCGUGGGGAGCAACAGGAUUAGAUACCCCUGGUAGUCCACGCCCUAAACGAUGUCAACU
rnacentral:rRNA from 1 species